rnacentral:rRNA from 1 species
AUACGGAGGGUGCGAACGUUAAUCGGAAUUACUGGGCGUAAAGCGUGCGUAGGCGGUUUGCUAAGUCAGAUGUGAAAGCCCCGGGCUUAACCUGGGAACUGCAUUUGAUACUGGCAGACUAGAGUAUGAUAGAGGGGGGUAGAAUUCCUGGUGUAGCGGUGAAAUGCGUAGAUAUCAGGAGGAAUACCAGUGGCGAAGGCGGCCCCCUGGAUCAAUACUGACGCUGAGGUACGAAAGCGUGGGGAGCGAACAGGAUUAGAAACCCUAGUAGUCC